AGCGGCAGCAGCAGCGAGCCAGCGACGAGCAGCGGCAGCAGUGAGCCAGCGACGAGCAGCGGCAGCAGCAGCGAGCCAGCUACGACCAGCGGCAGCAGCAGCGAGCCAGCUACGACCAGCGGCAGCAGCAGCGAGCCAGCGACGAGCAGCGGCAGCAGUGAGCCAGCGACGAGCAGCGGCAGCAGCAGCGAGCCAGCUACGACCAGCGGCAGCAGCAGCGAGCCAGCUACGACCAGCGGCAGCAGCAGCGAGCCAGCGACGAGCAGCGGCAGCAGUGAGCCAGCGACGAGCAGCGGCAGCAGCAGCGAGCCAGCUACGACCAGCGGCAGCAGCAGCGAGCCAGCUACGAGCAGCGGCAGCAGCAGCGAGCCAGCGACGAGCAGCGGCAGCAACAGCGACGUGUUCAGGGGCUGAAGGUCACGAGUUCGGCUGAAUUAGAGAUUUAGAGUCACUUUACUCACUUUAGGUUUUGGACUUUUGGGAAUCCGGAUUUUAUUUGUGUUCGGUUCGUCGGUUCGGUUUUUCGGUUUUUUUUUUAAAACCGAAAACCGAACCGAUUGAUUUUACUAUUUUUUCGGUAUUCCUAUUUCGGUUUUUUGGAUAUAAAAAAACCGCAAAAAAACCGAACCGAACCGAACGGUUCGGUUCGAUUUUUGAUUAAUCAACUUUUUUUGCCCACCCCUAGUUUUCACCAGAGCCCGACGCAGGUCCCCCCCUAUUUCCUACAAACUCUAAUUCAGGGGAGGGAGAAACGGCCAAAGGACGAGGGUAUUCAAGGGUAUCCCUGCCAUGGGAAGGACCUACGUUACUGGAGGGACCUAAGAAAUCGGUGGGUAUUGACGCGUUGAGGCCUGAAUCCCCUGAUUCUUCAUCAUCCUCAUCAACAAUUAAUUUUCUUUUUCGGUUUGACAUAUCGGAACCUCAAAAGAAAACAAAGAAAACUCGAAUAUAUGGACACAAAAAGGGCAACACAGAACCCAAUCAACAACAACCAGAGGAGAAGUUAAAGGCAAUACCUGGAUUGAACUGGCACUGAUAGCGCGGCCGUGAUAGAGGAAAAAUCCAGCGAGUGGAUACUCCAGGCACGAGAAGUAUAAGCAAAGUUCAGAGAGGGAGUCAGUUAACGACGAAGAGAUGAAUAAUAAAGCGAUGAAGAAAGAAGUCUAGGGAUUUGAAACGAAAAGGGAAAAAUGAAAGCAUUUAAGUGCAAGAGACGCCAGCUCACUCACCGUACAUCAAGGACAGAUAGCCCGUCGUUUCAAAUUUCAAAUAGGAAGAGUCAGGAGAUGCCGCGUCACCAGUCGUUAUACGAGGCCAGGCUAGCUGCAAGCCCAGAUACGCAAUGGACACACUCAUUUAGGCCCAUACUCAGGUCAAAAUCUCCCUUGAAGAAAAAUGAUACCUCAGGUCCAUCCCGAUAGAUGAAAGACCAGAGGAGAAGCCCCCGGAUUGGUAAGAUUUGAAUAUCAGUUUCUACUCUUGACUCAUUUCACUCACAAGACCAGAAACUGGGGGACUGGUGUUGAGCCAAUAAUGAUACCAGGUCGGCCAUAGUACUGUUUUCACCUCGGCAUGAAUCACCCCCGGCAUGAAUCACCUCAGCCAAGUGCUACGGUACGAGCAGAGCAGAGGGCAGCAUGAACCGAUCAGAGACGGAUACUGACCAAAGGUGUAUCCCGAGCUGAUACCCAUCUCCUGGAAAAGCGGGAACACGAUCCCACAUAAUUAUGGCGUUUGCAUUCUUCCCAGAACCGUUACGAGAGAUGCGAUACCCCACGUUUCCCAUGAUGUAGCAUUUAAAAGCAUUUAAAGGCCACUACCCGAAAAAGGAGGGAUGAAAAUUGAAGGAGAACGUGGGAUAACGGCUAUAAAAGAAGGAAAAAAGAGGAAGAGAGAGGGGGGCUGCAAAAUUGCAAUCAGACUCUUUUUCUUACAAAACGAGUUAGAAACCCUUCUUGAAUCGGAAUUACACUAUUUUUCAGUAAACACCUUGUGCUAACUUAAGCAUCGGAGGGUUUUACGCCGGCAAAACCACCGGCGUCUCUGACUUGUUUUUGUGAACGCAGGUCUAGUAAGAGAAAGCAAGGAGAUUCCACCCUAGUGAUCUGAGCAACAGCUGACAAUAUAAACGUUGGUGAAGGAAUCUGGUCGGUCACAACGCGAACGGAUUUAAGCAUCAACAUUUUGGCGCCGUCUGUGGGAAUCUGAAUAAAAAGCUACUGCCAAACGAUUUAUUAUCGGAGAAAUAAGAAACGAUUGGGUAUGGAGAAUGAAACGAUGGAGACAAGUACGCUCCGGGACAUUGCAAAUGAAGCCCGUGAGAAGGUGACGCAAGAUAGACUAGAGCGAAUGGAGAAACAAAUGGAGACUCUCACAGCCAUAUUGUUUGAACUGAGGGACGAGUGGAGAAGGGAUUGUGAAACCCCCGUGGGAAGAGAUGAAGUUGGAGCAAAACCCAGCCUCCGGGGGCGUAGAGUCGAGGAAGUCCCUCUGCCCGCAGUCCAACUUGAUGGGGUGCAUCCCAACAGAAGUACUGAUCGGGUCCCAGGAGAACACGUGGAUGAAGGGCGGGACCAACCUCGCCCCGGACGGGUCCUGGAAGUCAAUGGCCGAGGUGCCAAUGUUGACGAAGGAGAACUCAGACAACGGUUGCACAAUGCUGAGCUGGAACGAGACCAGAUAGCCGCACGUGAUCCUAACCGUGCUAUAGCAUUGGAGGGGGAGGUGCGCAGAUUGGCGCAGGUGAUAGAAGAGAUACAGGGCAAGAGAAAGCCCCUGAGCUGGAGGAUAAUGUUAGAUGACGAAUCUUCGUUAUCAACUGCGAUCAUGAGUACCAUUAUCCCAAGCGAUUUCCGCUUCCCCGACCUCAAAUACUCCGGGCGAAGUGAUCCGUUAAUGCAUAUUGAGCGUUUCAACGACAUGACGGGUGUGCAGGGGUUGACACCAGCUCAGAGGUGCCGGGUGUUCCCAUUGACGCUAGAGGGACGAGCUCGAGAGUGGUAUCGCAAGCUGACCCGAGGAAGUAUAAAGGGGUAUGAGCAGAUGUGCCAAGAGUUGGCCGAGCAGUUCCGAGGGGCAGUUGCCCCAGAGGACGACAUGAUGGAGCUGAUGGGGAUGAAACAGGAGGAGCAGGAAUCCCUUCGAGAAUUCGUCAAACGGUAUCACCGAGCCGUGCUGGAUCUGGGAGCUUUUAAUCACCCGCAGGCGUUGAGGGGAUUGAGAGAAGGUGUAAGAAUCGGCCGAUUAUGGUAUAACUUGAGAAGCCCCCUCAUACAGAAUUACUCGUCGGGGUACGAGCAGGCAAGGCGAGAUAUAGAAAUCGAAGAGGAGAAAUCAGCAAGAAUAAAAAGUGAACAGCUGGAAGAGCUGAGGCGAAAGGAACGGAGAGCCCCGAAAGGGGGUGGAUUGGGAAAGCGAACAAGCGAUUCUUCCGUGAUGGGCGGAAUAUCCACUCGGUCCCGACCUUACCCCAUAGCUCCGAGAUCACAACAGUUCCAGCACAACCGGGCACAACCUCCACGUCCCCCAUUUCCGGAUCGGCAGCGAGAAUUCCGGCAGAUGGCUGCCGACCCCUAUCACAACACUCCUAGAGCAUCACAUGCAACCAAUUCCAGAUUCUACCAGAAGACAAAAGGCAAGCAAGAAGAUUAAAAUGCAGAGCAGCGAGGUACACGUUACUAGAUGGAGUGCUGUACCGCCGAGGAUUCACCUUACCACUUUUGAGAUGUCUGGAUAAGGAGGAGGCAGACUAUGUAUUAAGGGAGAUUCAUGAAGGAAUAUGUGGAAAUCAUUCAGGAGCAAGAACUUUAGCCUUCAAAGCACUCCGGCAAGGAUACUUUUGGCCGACCAUGCAUCAGGAUGCGAAAAGAAUGGCAAAGAAUUGCAAAACCUGCCAAAGCUUCUCAGAGGUUCCCGCACAACCCCCAGAAAAACUGACCACUAUGACAUCCCCAUGGCCUUUUGCUCAAUGGGGAAUCGACCUGAUUGGUCCGUUACCGAAAGGCCGAGGAGCGACAACCCAUGCAAUCGUAGCAAUAGACUACUUCACCAAGUGGAUAGAAGUGGGGGUCCUUAGCCAAAUUACGGAGAGAAAGAGUCCUCAUGAAGAUGCAUUGGUAAUUAAGGCAAUGGUGGCCGGAACAGAAUUGCGACGAAUACUAGUAGACACAGGCAGCUCGGUUGACAUCCUAUUUAAGUCAGCUCUAGAUGAUAUGGGGAUUGCAGACGUGAAACUGGAACGGACAAAUACAUCCUUGAAGGGAUUUGGAGGGGGACGACUAACUCCCAUGGGGAUCAUCGAACUCCCAAUUACCGUGGGAUCAAAAUCGUAUGAAAGAACAAUGAUGUUGGAUUUCGUCGUGGUAGAAGAGAGAAGUCCUUAUCAGAUGAUAUUGGGGAGACCGUUCAUGAGGAUAAGCCAAUGUGUAAUGUCCACGCAUUAUCUGGCGCUGAAGUACAGAAUAAAUGGAGUUGUUGGUGUAGUAAAGGGCGACCAGAGAAUGGCCAGGAGCUGCUAUGCUACAGCGGCCAAGGAAACACUGCAGGUUACUUCUUUAGAUAACCGAGGGGAUUCAAAAAAUGGUCGCCAGGAACCUGUUGAGAAGCUGGAGGGGAUUGUUGUAAGUAGGAGUGACCCGAGCAAAGUGGUUAGAGUCGGAUCAGAAUUGGGUGAAGCAAUAAAAGGCGAGCUGGUGAAGUGUCUACAGUCCCAUGCGGACAUAUUUGCCUGGUCUCAUGAGGAUAUGCCAGGUAUUGAUCGAGGGGUAGCUUGUCACAAGCUGACAGUGAAGAAAGGGGCAAGGCCGGUGAGGCAGAAGAGGAGGUGCUUCAACCAGGAAAGGUACGAGGCCAUAAAUGCGGAGGUGGACAAGCUGCUGAAAGCAGGAUUUAUAAGGGAAGCCAAGUACCCGGAGGGGAUUUCCAAUGUAGUACUGGUAAAAAAGGCCAAUGGGAAGUGGAGAAUGUGUGUAGCGGAGAGAAAGACAACGGAUUUUAUCUAGAAGAACAUCAUCUGCAGAUACGGAAUCCCGUAUACCAUCAUCACCGAUAAUGGGAGGCAAUUUGACAACAACAGUGGACUCGACCGCAGGUCAUAGUCUGCUCAAUUUCAUGGAUGCCUUUUCCGGAUACAACUAGAUACCCAUGGACGAGCAUGAUGAAGAAAGCACCACAUUUAUAACUAACAUGGGUUUGUUCUGUUACAGGGUGAUGCCCUUUGGCCUAAAAAAUGCAGGAGCAACCUAUCAAAGGCUAGUGAAUAAGGUCUUCAAGCCAUUGAUCGGUCACACUAUGGAAGUAUACGUGGACGAUAUGACUAAGGCAAGUACUUCUGCUCGGUCAACGAAAGACCAGCAGCUAAAUUUACGAAAGACUAGAUUGGGAGAGAAGAAAAGAGCUUGGGUUGACGAGCUACCAGGGGUACUGUGGGCCUACCGGACAACUCACAAAACCGCCACAGGGGAGACCCCGUUUGCCUUAGCUUUUGGUCACGAGGCGGUAAUCCCAGCAGAAAUUGGAAUAGGAACACACCGGACGGAAUACUUCAAUAAGGAGCAAAAUGACGAGCAGAUCUGCUUGAGCCUGGACCUGCUGGAGGAGAAAAGGGAAGGGGCUUCGCAGAAAGUGGCCCAGUAUCAGCAAAGGGUCACGCGUUAUUACAACAAAAACGUACGUAUGAGGCAGUUCCGAACAGGAGAUUGGGUGCUCAGGAAGGUAAACCAAAAUACCAAGGAUCCUAACCAUGGAGCUCUUGGUCCGAAAUGGGAAGGCCCGUACAGGGUGAUACGAGCAACUGGUCCGGGAGCUUAUAAGUUAGCAUACCAAGAUGGACGAGACGUGAAGAGGCCAUGGAACGCCGAGCAUUUGAAGAAGUAUUUCCAGUAAGCAAAAUACUCUACUAAAUCUUCAAUUUGAUAAGUUCUAUUGGUCAAAUGCAUGCUGGCUUGGUGCACAUGCAUACAUUUUGUAUUUUUGUAACGCAUUCAAAUUUCAAUAAAGAUGAAUUCAGCAUGAAAUCCCCCGGCUAAUAAGCCCAUCAAAAAUCUGCUAAGGCAAGUAAGUGCCUAUUUCUGCUCGGUCAACGAAAGACCAGUAGCUAACUCUACAAAAAUCUGCUAAGGCAAGUAAAUGCCUACUUCUGUUCGGUCAACGAAAGACCAGCAGCUAACUCUACAAAAAUCUGCUAAGGCAAGUAAAUGCCUACUUCUGUUCGGUCAACGAAAGACCAGCAGCUAACUCUACAAAAAUCUGCUAAGGCAAGUAAAUGCCUACUUCUGUUCGGUCAACGAAAGACCAGCAGCUAACUCUACAAAAAUCUGCUAAGGCAAGUAAAUGCCUACUUCUGUUCGGUCAACGAAAGACCAGCAGCUAACUCUACAAAAAUCUACUAAGGCAAGUACUUCUGCUCGGUCAACGAAAGACCAGCAGCUAAAUUUACGAAGAUUUUACUAAGGCAAGUAAGUGCCUACUUCUGCUCGGUCAACAAAACACCAGCAGCUAAUUCUACAAAAAUCCUACUAAGGAAAGUAAGUGCCUAGUUCGGCUCGGUCAAUGAAGACUAGCAACCAGUUUUAUGGGAAUUUUAUUAAGGCAAGUAAAUACCUACUCCUGCUCAGUCCGCUAAGGAACCAGCAGGCAAAAUCUAUAAAGAAAGGGAGGAAGAUGGAAUGGACACUGGAAUGUGAGGAGGCAUUUGGACAACUGAAGGAAUACCUAGCCCGUGCCCCAUUACUAUCAACUCCGAGAGAGGGUGACCAGCUGCUUCUAUACUUGGCAAUCUCUAAGUGGGCUACCAGCUCGGUCUUAGUCAGGGAAGAAGAAGGGAAGCAACACCCGGUAUACUACACAAGCAAGACCCUGGUGGACGCAGAAACCAGAUAUCCACUAAUGGAGAAAUGGGCGCUGGCUCUGAUAACGGCAGCACGCAAAAUUCGACCAUAUUUCCAAGCCCACCAGAUCGUUGUGAUGACUGACCAGCCCCUUCGGCAGGUGCUUCAAAAACCAGACGCGUCUGGUCGGUUAGUAAAAUGGUCCGUGGAGCUGAGCGAAUUCGACUUAUCGUACAGGCCCCGAGGAGCAAUCAAGGCCCAAGCCCUGGCUGAUUUUAUGGUUGACCGUGCUGGACCUGGGGAAGAGGUCCAAGAAGAACAACCAGCAGAACAGGGGGAUAUAAAGAGGGUAUGGCAGGUAAUGGUUGAUGGGUCACGUAGUGAGCAGGGAUCCGGGGCAGGAGUUAUAAUACGAAGCCCAGAAGGUGUCGAGGUGUCUUAUGCAGUAAAGUUCGAGUUCCAGCUUACGAAUAACCAAGCUGAAUAUGAGGCCUUCAUUACUGGGCUCGGUUUGGCACAUGCAUUACGAGCAGAAAGGGUUGAAAUCCGAGCCGAUUCCCAGCUAGUAUGUAACCAACUCAACGACCAAUUCCAAGUAAGGGAAGAGAAGUUGGGACUUUAUUUGAAGAAGGCGAAGCAGAUGGUUGGGCUUUUCCAAGAGGUGGAGGUAAAGCAGAUAUCUCGAAAUGAGAAUUACCGAGCGGAUAUGUUGGCUAGGAUGGCUGCAAUUGCAGAUCCGAAAUUACCUAAAUCGGUUCCACUGGAGGUAAGGACCUCGCCAAGUAUAGGGGAGGAGGUAGAGGUGAUGAGAAUAAGCACUGGUGAAUCCUGGAUGGACCCGAUUCGCGCAUAUGUGCGCGAUGGAAUUCUACCAGAAGACAAAAGGCAAGCAAGAAGAUUAAAAUGCAGAGCAGCGAGGUACACGUUACUAGAUGGAGUGCUGUACCGCCGAGGAUUCACCUUACCACUUUUGAGAUGUCUGGAUAAGGAGGAGGCAGACUAUGUAUUAAGGGAGAUUCAUGAAGGAAUAUGUGGAAAUCAUUCAGGAGCAAGAACUUUAGCCUUCAAAGCACUCCGGCAAGGAUACUUUUGGCCGACCAUGCAUCAGGAUGCGAAAAGAAUGGCAAAGAAUUGCAAAACCUGCCAAAGCUUCUCAGAGGUUCCCGCACAACCCCCAGAAAAACUGACCACUAUGACAUCCCCAUGGCCUUUUGCUCAAUGGGGAAUCGACCUGAUUGGUCCGUUACCGAAAGGCCGAGGAGCGACAACCCAUGCAAUCGUAGCAAUAGACUACUUCACCAAGUGGAUAGAAGUGGGGGUCCUUAGCCAAAUUACGGAGAGAAAGACAACGGAUUUUAUCUAGAAGAACAUCAUCUGCAGAUACGGAAUCCCGUAUACCAUCAUCACCGAUAAUGGGAGGCAAUUUGACAACAACAACUUCAGAGAGUUUUGCCGUAACCUAGGGGUGGACCUGAAAUUUUGCACCCCCGCACACCCCCAGGCAAACGGACAAGUGGAAGCAGCCAACAAAGUGGUAAAGAAACUCCUAAAGACUAGAUUGGGAGAGAAGAAAAGAGCUUGGGUUGACGAGCUACCAGGGGUACUGUGGGCCUACCGGACAACUCACAAAACCGCCACAGGGGAGACCCCGUUUGCCUUAGCUUUUGGUCACGAGGCGGUAAUCCCAGCAGAAAUUGGAAUAGGAACACACCGGACGGAAUACUUCAAUAAGGAGCAAAAUGACGAGCAGAUCUGCUUGAGCCUGGACCUGCUGGAGGAGAAAAGGGAAGGGGCUUCGCAGAAAGUGGCCCAGUAUCAGCAAAGGGUCACGCGUUAUUACAACAAAAACGUACGUAUGAGGCAGUUCCGAACAGGAGAUUGGGUGCUCAGGAAGGUAAACCAAAAUACCAAGGAUCCUAACCAUGGAGCUCUUGGUCCGAAAUGGGAAGGCCCGUACAGGGCUGUUUUUCAGAAACAAUCUAUGAGCAAAAAUCGGACAAGAAAGCAAAUGAAGAGCAUCUACAAAUUUAUAAGUGUUCAAUUGUUUACAAAACAAAUGCAAAUCUAGAGUUUAUACAAAAAUAGGCUCAAAGCUUAGCAGAGUCAACGGCUCCAGCAACUGAAGGAUCAGCAAGCUCGGAAAGCAAGGGGUCAGCAACAUCAGGAGGUGGGAGAUCAGCACUGCCAGGAGGAGGAGGCAUGGACCCUUGACCCACCUCGAAAGGACGUCCCCCAGCUUCCCCCUCUUGCACCCCAUCCAAAGGAGCCUCCACCUGAUCCUGCUCACCCUGCCGCUUGUCCGCCUGGCCGACCUCUGCCAUAUACCGCUGCACUCCAGCCUCCAACUUGCUCGUGUCCAGCUCGGGAUAUUCUCCCUGAAGCACAGACAUGAUACACUUAUAGGAGAAAGCAACCCCCGAGUCAUACUCGGCGUCCAACCGAUCGUCCACAUCAGCAAAUUUGCCUUUCUCCUCAGCCAGCUGCUCAUUCAGGGAUUUGAUUUCUCCCUCAAGGGCGGUCCUUAAAGUAUCUCUUUCACUUUGAGUUACCUGAAGGUCCGACUUCAGGCCAUCCAACUCACCCUCAAACUUGGAGGCAGUAGACUCAGCAAUUGCAACUUUCUCCUCCAGCUCCGUAACCUGCUUGUUCAGCUCGGCUAGUUUCUCCUUGGAGCGGUCAGCAGAUUCAGCUUUCUUUUUCAACUCCUGAUUGUCAGCUUGAAGCUUCUUCUCACGACGGGCGGACCCGAUCUUGUAGCACGAGACCAUUGUGGACAGCCUGAAGGAGACUCUCUGAACAGAAGCAGCUAACUCGGAAAGCUCCAUAUUCUCAAUGUCCUUCACCAUCUUGGGCCCAACCGAUCUCUUGUACUCCUUCUGAUACGGGCUCAGAUAGUCACCCUGAUCCCGAGAUGGAAGAGGAGAAGAUCGGUCUCCAGAUUGUAAGCUGACCUCGGGGCUCUUGUCGGAAGUUCUCUCCCCACUACUCUUACGAGGUGGAGGAGGGGGUAAAGCAGGAACUGGAGCCUUAGAAGGACUGGCACUGACUUUCUUUUGAGGAGGAGGAGGGUAGCUCGAGCUGCUCGAUGCCCGACCACGUUUUCUGCUCAUCGCGCUGAGGAUCUUGUUAUCCAUCCCAGCGGCGAUAUCCACUAAGCCCGAACCGACCAGGUUUGUUGGUGACAGGAGGUCUUGACAAGUAGACGCGUUCACCAGAGCGGUUUCCACCUGGAGCAAAGGUCGGUCCUCGAGGGUCUUAAUCAAACCCCACGACUCUGAAAAAACAGACAAGGUUAAAGAACCCAAUAAGUAGCAAUUCGAGAAAAAAUGUAGGCAAAAAUGAACGACCUGGGGUGACAAAUUGCGUUGGAAGGUGAAUGUCACCGCCCAACGACCGAAUUGCUGGACACCAAUCUCCCCCAGCAAAGAAGAAUUUUUUCUUCCAAUUUUUGCACGAGGAGGGGAAACCGGUGAUGGGCUUCCUCUUCGCAGAACUGGACAUGAAGUAGUACCAGCCCGCCUCCCUUGGGCUACUCCGUAGCUGAUACAAAUGUUUCACCUCAACAAGGGAGGGCUCUUCCAACCCACAUCUCUCCCACAAUACAAACAUAGCGGAAAGAACCCUCCACCCGUUUGGGUGUAACUGACCUAGGGCCAGGUGCAUACCCCCCAAAAUUCUGGCAAAAUAGCGCUGAAGAGGCAGCCGAGCUCCUAGUUUGAAGCUCUCCAGGUGCAUGGUCACGUACCCCCGUGGAGGCCGACUAUGUACAUCACCUUUCUCAGGAACCACAAGGAGAACCUCCUUAGGAAUAUCAUAAAGGUUCCUAAGCUUGAACAGAUCAUCUCGGGUGGUGGCACAGGCUAUAUGAUCAAUGGGGUAAGAAUCUGCCUCUAUCCUAUGCCCAAGAUUUCGUUUCUCAAGAGGUCGGCUCGGCUCGGAGCUGCUUCCCUCACUAUCACCUGUUCCUAUAGGAACCCCGGCUCCACCAGACCUAUGGUUUUCACUAGGGGUGGGUGCGGUUCGGUUCGGUUCGGUUUUUUACUAUAUUUUUCAUAAUCGUUCGAUUACGAUUAUUUUAAAAUCAUAAUCGCGAUUAAUCAAAUUACUGAAAUAAUCAAAUACUCGAUUAAUUGAAAUAAUUCGGUUCGGUUCGGUUCGAUUAUUUCGAUUAUGGGCCUAUUGGGCCUAUUUUGGGCUUUUUCAAAUUUAAAACCUUAAAUUAAUAAAUCUACAACAAACAUAAAAAAUUAACAAACAAAAAAUCAAAAUAUGUCUCAAACAAUGUUCAAUAACACAUAAAAAAAUUAACACCACAGCAGCAACAAAUCAAAGAGAGAAUCUAGGAUCUGACACAUUCACUUAAAACUACCAAAGGAUAUCCAUUAUCCUCAAACAAUUUGUAUACAAUCUUCCAAAAGAUUACUCUUUGAUCACGCAUAACAAAUAACCAUACAAAAAUUUUUAUAUUAAAAUAAGCAAAUUUAAUACUAAAAAAUCUUGCCGCAUGCUGUUGUCUAAUGUUGCCCAUUUAUGAAAGCAAUAAAUUUCUUGUGAAAAUAUUAUAGAUUAUUUCCAGCAAUCACAGAAUCUAAAAGCUUGAGCUUGUGCUUAAUUAAACGUCUGACAAGGUUAUUUAAAUUUCUACUCACCUAUAUUUUAACUAUUUUUAUUAUUCUCAGGUUAUAUGGUUUUCAAUUUCAAACUCAAUAUUAGUCAAAGGAACAACGCUAAUUAAAAAGAUUAAAUUAAAUCAAGCAAUGCAUUAGCAAUCUGUAAAUUGAUUACUUAAGGUUAAGGAUCAACUUCUCAAAAUUAAUGCCCAGAAAAUAACUUAUUUUUAAAAGUUCAAAACAAACCCACUUAUUAUUAUUAUUAUUAUUAUUAUUAUUGGGAAGCAAUACAGAUUAGCUCCAGCAAAAUCGAUCCUGAAGAAGAGAUAACACAUUUGCUGCACGUCCUAUCUUUACAUGUGUGUACCCGCAAUAAUUAAUGAUUUGACUAAUAAGUUUGAUAUUAUAUAUAUAUAUAUAUAUAUAUAUAUAUAUAUAUGCACAANNNNNNNNNNNNNNNNNNNNNNNNNNNNNNNNNNNNNNNNNNNNNNNNNNNNNNNNNNNNNNNNNNNNNNNNNNNNNNNNNNNNNNNNNNNNACGAGCAGUGAGCCAGCGAUGAGCAGCGGCAGCAGCAGCGAGCCAGCGACGAGCAGCGGCAGCAACAGCGACGUGUUCAGGGGCUGAAGGUCACGAGUUCGGCUGAAUUAGAGAUUUAGAGUCACUUUACUCACUUUAGGUUUUGGACUUUUGGGAAUCCGGAUUUUAUUUGUGUUCGGUUCGUCGGUUCGGUUUUUCGGUUUUUUUUUUUAAACCGAAAACCGAACCGAUUGAUUUUACUAUUUUUUCGGUAUUACUAUUUCGGUUUUUUGGAUAUAAAAAAACCGCAAAAAAACCGAACCGAACCGAACGGUUCGGUUCGAUUUUUGAUUAAUCAACUUUUUUUGCCCACCCCUAGUU
rnacentral:lncRNA from 1 species